rnacentral:hammerhead_ribozyme from 1 species
AUCCAGCUGACGAGUCCCAAAUAGAACGAAACACGCGUCAAAUUAGAU